UGCAGGUUUACAGCGCAGCUCUUCAGACUGCCGCAGGACGUGCUGGCGUGAGAUGUUUCCCAGUGUCUGCUAGGUUUUUUUGGGUCAGUGCAGAGAUAGGAGGCUGUGUGGAGCAGCAGUCAGGCAGGACAGGAUGUUCUGAGGGCCGGAUGACUUUCAUGAGUGUCUAUACAGCGUGAUAAAGCUUAUCUCUCCUACACGAGAGAGAGAGAGAGUGAGAGGCAGACUGGCACCAGAUGCAGGCUUCAGAGAAAACGUAGCCUCUGACGUCUGAAACCUAAUCAAACCCACGGGCAUGAAUUUACACAUCACUGACGAUGAGGGUGGAAACGCAUCUCUGGCAUAGAACAAAAUGGAUCAUAAUGCCAACAAUAAAAAUCAAAGUUCACACCUGCAGACGCGGACCUACACAACCACCGGCACACCUGCGUGACUUUAUUACUGAUGAGAACAAAAGACCAGCAGCAACACAACAACUUUAAUAACGCUGAGACUGAGAGAUAUUGAGUGGACAUCAAAUGAAGGCGCGCGUCCUGACAGCCCCGGGGGAUUUCUGACGGAGGCUGGAUUCAAAUGACUUUUUUGUGUUUCUUGUCGGGCGAAUGCCAUGAGGGAGAAAAGCGGUCUAAACAAUAACACGGAAGAAGGUAAUAAAGUAGGUGAUGUUGGGCAGAAGUAGCGCUCCGGGGUAGGAGACCUGCUAAUGUCCGUCAAAAGUCAAAGGAUGUGCAAGAAGCAGCUUUUACGUCAGAUGGUGGCUGAUCUGAACCGUUCACAUCCUUGAAUGUUCCUAUAGCGUUUUGUGGCACUAGGUGCAGAUGUCAG
ensembl:lncRNA